GACGAACGCUGGCGGCGUGCUUAACACAUGCAAGUCGAGCGGUAAGGCCCUUUCGGGGGUACACGAGCGGCGAACGGGUGAGUAACACGUGGGUGACCUGCCCUUAGCCCUGGGAUAAGCCUGGGAAACUGGGUCUAAUACCGGAUAUGACUCCAUGACGCAUGUUGUGGGGUGGAAAGCCUUGUGCGGCUAGGGAUGGGCCCGCGGCCUAUCAGCUUGUUGGUGGGGUGAUGGCCUACCAAGGCGACGACGGAUAGCCGGCCUGAGAGGGUGAUCGGCCACACUGGGACUGAGACACGGCCCAGACUCCUACGGGAGGCAGCAGUGGGGAAUAUUGCGCAAUGGGCGAAAGCCUGACGCAGCGACGCCGCGUGAGGGACGAAGGCCUUCGGUCGUAACC
rnacentral:rRNA from 1 species